rfam:Gossypium arboreum cultivar AKA8401 contig_60698_1, whole genome shotgun sequence.
UGUUAAAAAUUUCCAUCCAUUUGUACUGUUAAAAAUUGACGUGGCUAAUGGAGUAAUGAAGUAGUGACAUGUGACGUGCUUUGUGUAUCUUCUGCUGAUUUACAAUUUCCAAUAUUUACGUUAAAAAUUGGAUGCAUGAAAUUUUUAAUA